CCUGAACCACUAGACGAUAGGGGCAUCACUAGACGAUAGGGCCAUAUAUAACCGCUCGUGAUUAUACUAUAAUCAUAGUAUGAGCAAAUUUUUUUGAAUUGUCAAUAUACUCGAAGAGUAUAACAAGAUCCAAAGUAAAGAAUUUUUGCUACUUUGCUGUUAUGUUUUCAUAGGAUUUUUUUAAUUCAUGCUUAGAUUAAUUCAUGGGUCAUCCCCUACUUUAUUAGGGAAAUUCCUUUAAAAGGUAGAGAAUAAGAAUCGAUUACUAAAAGGAUUCUAGAUUAGUUCAGUAUAGGUAGUCAUUUGAUUGAUCUAAGAUGAAAAAGAGUCAAAUUUCAUUUAUUUUUUGCAAUUUAGAUUCCGUGCUUCAUUUAGUGUUCAGACCAAAAAUGCAUGCAUCUCGCACUAAGUCAUAAAAUUCAAUAAAAAAUAGAGAAAGUUUCAAAAACAAAGUAAAAAGUAAAUGAAUUUAGUAGAAAAGUAUUCUAUCAGAUUCGAACCGAUGACUUAUGCCUUACCAUGCCAUUACUCUACCACUAACUUUAAAAGCCCUUUAUCGGAUUUGAACCGAUGACUUACGCCUUACCAUGGCAUUACUCUACCACUGAGUUAAAAGGGCUUUUUUUUUAAUUCAAAAAUGAGCCACUUUCAUUUCCCAUUCUGGGUCUACUGCAUAAUGUACAUAAGAUAUGUAGAUAUCCAUAUAUCUAUAUAAGUUUAUUCAUCGUGAGGUUCAAAAUAUUGAUAAAAUCAAUAAAAAUAAGAAAAUAUUUGCUAUUAUCUCUUAUAACUUGCAUAAAACAAAGUAGAGAUCCUUUUUUAUAUAAUAAAAUGCGUGAAGAGAAAGUUGACACAAUAAAAAAUAAUAAACCAUACCCUAUACAUACCUAACUCUUCUUAAUUCAGGGUUUUUCGUUUCCGAAGACUAGGAAAAUAGGCGGAUUCUGGAACCCUAAGGAUUCGAUGGUAUAUGGCUAUGGAAAAUAUAAGAUUUUUGAUCCUAGCGGGAAAAGGAACGGAACAGAUACCCAAUAUGAUUCUUGGGAGGAACAUUUCGUAAUGGUCUUGAUCCUCUAUGCUCUUUUUUAUGUGUUGCUAGUUCGAUUGCACUUUUUUGAUUCUUUUAAACAAAACAAGAAUCUACUAAACCAGAAUUGAAAUUGAGUGAGUGGAAAAAAGGGGUUUAUAGGGACAGUUCAGAUGCUAUUGGCAUGGUAAGAAGAGGUGUAUUUUACAGACCAUAGGGGUUAUCGAAAUCCUAAAGUAAAGGCCUGCAAUCGAAGUAGAAGUACCAACGGCUCACUGCCAUGAACCUUCUCCAUUUGAUUCACUAAGGGGAAAUUCACCUGCUUCUCGAAUGGGUAUCAUUGACAAAGGGUUGCGUUUGUAUCAUAAUCUACAUGUAGCGGGUAUAGUUUAGUGGUAAAAGUGUGAUUCGUUCUAUUAAUAACUGAAUUAAAAUGAUAUACUUAAGGCAUCCUUAAGUUUUUUUCUAUUCCGAUGAAAACUUUAGUUCUUAUAAAGGAUUUCAUCCUUUUCCUCUCAAUAGCGUAUUGAGGAACAAUAUACAUUCUCGUGAUUUGUAUAAUUGAAAUUGCAUCCAAAAUACAAAUAGGAUUAUGAGUACAGAGUCGCGAAGCAUAAUUUUACAUUGGAUUAAGUAUUCCAUAUAUUAAAAAUAUGAGUAAAGGAUCUAUGGAUGGAGAUACAAAAAAGUUUUUUCCAAUCGUAACUAAAUCACCUUUACCUUCAAAACGGGAAAAGGAAGCCAAAUAGCUAAAAGCGGUAGUUUUGGUUUACUAGAACCAUCAGCAUAUUGUUUAAGCUCGGUGGAAACCCAAUUCUUUUCCUCAAGGAUCCCUUGAAUGAAAUUAGGGAACGAAGUAAGUAGAUUAGAUGGAUUUAGAUCGAAUUUCUAUCUCCUUACUCUAUAAGGAUCAUCUAGAAAGCGGAGAGCUUUGGUUCUAUUCAAAUAGAAAAGCUGACAUAGAUGUUAAGUGGUGAGAAUAUCCAUAAAGGAGCCGAAUGAAAUGAAAAUUUCAUGUUCGGUUUUGAAUUAGAGACGUUAUAAAUAAUCAACCAACGUCGACUAUAACCCCUAGCCUUCCAAGCUAACGAUGCGGGUUCGAUUCCCGCUACCCGCUCCAUUCUGUAUAUGUAUAAAAGGAGUAUUCCAUUUGUCUAGACCUGUAUAAAAGGAGUAUUCUAUUUGUCUAGACAUAGUUGAGGCCCGUAUUUAACCUUUUCCGUUCACCAUUUUCUGCUACUGCAGAGCGGAGUAGAGCAGUUUGGUAGCUCACGAGGCUCAUAACCUUGAGGUCACGGGUUCGAUUCCCGUCUCCGCACUUAGCAGUCUCUAUAAAAGGACUAUUCCAUUUCUAUAUAUAUGGUACAGGGUUGGGUGGUAUCCAAUCCAAUUUUUUUAUUCAUUACUUCCUGGCCUUAGAGGGCAAAAUUGAGCAGUCUGCGAAGCCGCCUGCCUCCAUAAGAAGAACAGGCAAGGUUUCUCCCUACCCUGCAGAAAAGAAAAAUGAAAGAAACGCACAGUCUACCUCCCUUCCCUUUAAAAGCAGUUUGCCAGUUCUUUGUCUCAGUGAAUACCCCCCUGUUGGCGAGUUCUAUUUCCCUCUCCGGAGCCCUCCUUUUUUUGAGUGGGGUGAAAAGUAAGGGUAAUAAGGGAUAGGGUACUAGACUAACACCUAAUUAAUAUAUAAUUUAUUCUAAGUAGUUAAACAUUCAACUAGACUAAAUUUUUUCUCAUAGUACUUGACUAAAGUAAGCGGGCAAGCGGCGGGAAUCGAACCCGUAUCUUCUCCUUGGCAAGGAGAUGUUUUACCAUUGAACUACGCUCGCUACGGAAUAUAUUUUAUAGCGUAUAUCCGCUUGUGUCGACCGUCUAUGUCUGGGUCGACCGUUUCAUUUUCUAUUAUAUUAGAGUUUUCCUUUUUUUGAUUGUCUGUCAAUCAAUAUUCUAAUGGCAAUGCAAUUUCAUAAUACUGAAAGAGAAGAGGUAGCAAUUCGGAACGCAAAUUGCGUUUUAAUGUGUCUCACUAUUUGAAUUUUUUCGAAGAAAUGUCCUUUUUAUUUAUUUUGUAUCGGGUUACUCAAUACUAAACAAAUUUAUGAAAUGAGAGAAUUCAGAAUAGCUACGAGAAAGACUAGACCAAUCCAUAAUGAUGUAUCGGAAAAAACAACGUUUUUAUUAUUUGACCAACCAUCAGGAGAAGCAAAUACAAGGGGUACACUAAUUACUAAGACUGAGGAAGUCGCAAUUAAUGCAAAAACAGCUAAUUGGAAAGCAAUAGUCAUAUUUCUAAUCCUCAAGCUAUCAUCAAAUAAAGUUGACUACAUAUUUGAUCCCUCACUUAACCUAAAUUGUAAAAAAUACAAGAAGUAGAAGGGGUUUAAUCAUGAAUCCAUUGAUUCUUCUCUUUAAUUAAUAAUUAAAACUUAUUACUUACCGCUUUUAUUUGGAUAUGGGGAUUAGGGUAGGGGAUUUAGUCUUUAUUUCAAAAGCGGGUAUAGCGGAUCUUCUAUCCGUGUAUACAGUAUACAGAAAUAUAUCGAAAAAGGAUUUGCAUCUGAGAUGUUUCUAGAGGUUAGUAGAUCCUUUUAUUUUUAUAUGGCUGUGUUCUAUUUCUAGGAUUAAAGAAAAAGGGAGUAAUCGAAGAAUUAGAGAAAGAUCUACAAAAAGAAAUUAACUCUGUAAACCAGAGAAUUAAUAUUUCUAUCGAAAAAGUUAAAGAGCCUUAUAGACAACCUAACAUUCUUGCAGAAUAUAUAGCUUUUCAAUUAAAAAAUCGAGUUUCAUUCCGAAAGGCAAUAAAAAAAGCCAUUGAAUUAACUAAAAAAGCAGAUAUAAGGGGAGUCAAAGUAAAAAUAGCGGGUCGUCUCGGAGGAAAAGAAAUUGCACGUGCGGAAUGCAUCAUAAAGGGUAGACUUCCUCUCCAAACAAUUCGCGCUAAAAUUGAUUAUUGUUGCUAUCCAAUUCGAACUAUCUAUGGAGUAUUAGGUGUAAAAAUUUGGAUAUUCGUAGAUGAAGAAUAACUAAUCUUGUCUUCGCAUUCUGUGCAGUGAUAGAAUAAAAAAUGACAAGAGCCUGUUUUCCUGAAAUCCCUAAAAGAAAGAAGAAAUUAUACCUCUUUCUAUAAGAUUUAAUGAAAAUUGAUAAAUCAUUUAAUAUAAUUGCUAUGCUUAGUGUGUGACUCGUUAUUUUUUCUUUAAAAAAAUAAAAAAAUUUAGUAAUUAUAGAAAAUUAACUAAUAACCAACCUAUUGCUUCGUAUUGUCGAGAUCCUAACUAAGAAGCAGUCACUAUCUGAAUAAAUAUCUCUAUCAUAAAUGAGUAGAUCUAUCAUAUAGUUGUAGCAACUGCAAUUUUUUCUCUAAAAAAGAAACGAGAUUCUAGGUUCUGAAGCAAAACUAAAGGGAUGUAGAUAAAGGGAAAGAUGAUAGAAAGAAGAAUAAGUAAGAUAUAGGAUUCCAAUAUGUAUGGUCUAUGAAUUGCAUCAAAAAAGGCAAUGUGAUAAAGCAUCAAUAUAAUAUAAUAAAAAUAACAGAGAAUUAGAAAUCGUAACUUGAAACAAGAACUACAAAUUUAAAGCAAUAAUUAAAGAGCCACCCGGGUUAAUAAAACUGAGAAAAUUAACUCGAAAAGACAUUUUUUUGAAGCUCCGUUGCGGGAUUCAGACCUAACCAUUCAAGGAGAAGCAGUGGGAACGACACAACCUAUGACUCCAUAGGAUUUUAUUGCAAAGAAUCCAAAAACCUCAUUGGACGGGAUGGCGGAACAAACCCCAAAAAUUGUCUUAUUUGGUAAGGUUAUAAAUUACCAAAUAAGACAGGAAUAGAGUAAAUAUUCGCCUGCGAAAUCCUUAUUGAAUUAGAAUACUUUACCGCAAUUCAAUAAUUCAAUAAAUUCAAUAAAAGUAAAAAGAAAGAUAUUUUUUUAAGAAGGAUUACGUUAAAAAUAGAAUAUAGAUAAAUAGACACACACAUCUAGAUAUAUUCUAGAUCUUCUUUCUUGACUAUAUAUUUUUCUAUUUGAACAAAAUUAACUAUGAAAAAUAAAAAAAAACUAACUUUUUCUAUUACCUAUUAAUGUGUAUCUAUCCAUAAUAUUUUUGAAUAUUAUGGAAUUAGAGCAAUUUGCACGCUUUCUCAUUUAAUUCGCGAGGAGCUGGAUGAGAAGAAACUCUCAUGUCCAGUUUUGCAGUAGAGAUGGAACUACGAAAGAACCAUCGACUAUAACCCCAAAAGAACCAAAUUUCGCAAACAACAUAGAGGAAGAAUGAAAGGAAAAUCCUGCCGAGGCAAUCGUAUUUGUUUUGGUAGAUAUGCUCUUCAAGCACUUGAACCCACUUGGAUCACGGCGAGACAGAUAGAAGCGGGACGAAGAGCAAUAACACGAUAUGCACGUCGUGGUGGAAAAAUAUGGGUACGUAUAUUUCCCGACAAACCAGUUACACUAAGACCCACAGAAACACGUAUGGGCUCGGGAAAGGGGUCCCCCGAAUAUUGGGUAGCUGUUGUUAAACCAGGUCGUAUACUUUAUGAAAUGGGUGGAGUAUCCGAAACUGUAGCUAGAGCAGCUAUCUCCAUAGCUGCCAGUAAAAUGCCCAUACGAAGUCAAUUUAUUCGAUUAGAGAUAUAGAACCCCCAAAACGGGUUUUUCUUUCUGGAAAGACAAUAUUUCUUUCAUCCUUUUGCAUCGAAAUAAAAAAUUGAAAUCCAAAUAAUAUGAUUCAACCUCAGACCCUUUUAAAUGUAGCAGAUAAUAGUGGAGCUCGAAAAUUGAUGUGUAUUCGAGUCAUAGGAACUGCUGGUAAUCAGCGAUAUGCUCGUAUUGGUGAUGUUAUUGUUGCUGUAAUCAAAGACGCAGUGCCCCAAAUGCCUCUAGAAAGAUCCGAAGUAAUUCGAGCUGUAAUUGUACGUACAUGUAAAGAGUUCAAAUGUGAAGACGGUAUAAUAAUCCGCUAUGAUGACAAUGCAGCGGUUAUAAUUGAUCAAAAAGGAAAUCCAAAAGGAACUCGAGUUUUUGGGGCGAUCACCGAGGAAUUGAGAGAAUUGAAUUUUACCAAAAUAGUUUCAUUAGCUCCUGAAGUAUUAUAAAUACUAGUAGGCGAAAUUUAGAUCAAAGAGUGAAUUAGUAGAUUGUGUUUCAUGUAUAUGUUUUAAAAUCUAAAAUGAAAAGAAAAAAAGAAAACAUGUUGAUUAUAGAAAAAUUGGGAGGAACCUAGAAUUAGAAUCUUAUGGGCAAAGACACUAUUGCUGAUUUACUAACCUCUAUAAGAAACGCGGACAUGAAUAAAAAAGCAACAGUUCGAGUAGUAUCUACAAAUAUUACUGAAAACAUUGUAAAAAUACUUCUACGAGAGGGUUUUAUUGAAAGUGUUCGGAAACAUCAGGAACGUAACAGAUAUUUCUUGGUUUUAACUUUGCGACAUCAAAAGAGAAAGACUAGAAAAGGAAUAUAUAGAACAAGAACUUUUUUAAAGCGUAUCAGCCGACCCGGCUUACGAAUUUAUACCAACUAUCAAGGAAUUCCUAAAGUUUUGGGUGGAAUGGGAAUUGCUAUUCUUUCUACUUCUCGAGGGAUAAUGACAGAUCGAGAGGCUCGACUAAACAGAAUUGGGGGAGAAGUCUUAUGUUAUAUAUGGUAAUCGCCUUGCCUAUAGUGCCCGAAUUCUCUCUCGAACUUCCUAUUAUUCAAACAAAAAGAAAAAAUAGCAGAAAAAAAAAUGACAGAAAAAAAAUAGGUGAGAAAAGAAAAACCCGAGAGAAGCAAAAGUAACUUUCGAAAGUUUAGUUACGGAAGCCCUACCCAAUGGAAUGUUCCGCGUUCGUCUAGAGAAUGACACCAUCAUCCUGGGCUAUAUUUCAGGAAAGAUUCGGUCUAGUUCUAUACGAAUACUGAUGGGGGAUAGGGUCAAAAUUGAAGUAAGUCGUUAUGAUUCAAGCAAGGGACGUAUCAUUUAUAGACUUCCCCAUAAGGAUUCGAAGCGUAUCGAAGACUCGAAGGAUAGCGAAGAUUUGAAGGAUAGCGAAGAUUUGAAGGAUUAGGUUUUUCUUUUUUCUAGAAUAAUAAAUGCAAAGUUCAAAAAUUACAGCGAAGAGACUUAUUUUUUCCAAAAGAUUAGAUUCAUGGUUUAAGAAAGGAUACGGAAAUAUGAAAAUAAGAGCUUCCGUUCGUAAAAUUUGUACAAAAUGUCGACUGAUUCGUAGGCGUGGCCGAAUUAGAGUCAUUUGCUCCAACCCGAAACAUAAACAAAGACAAGGAUAAUCUUUCGAAAAAGCACUUUACUUUCUAAAAAGUAAAAAAAAAGAAUACCUACGGGAAUGUUUAAAUUAAAAAUAAAAUAAUUUGAAAUAAUUAAAGUAAAGGGUAUAUUUUACCCUGAAACGGAUAUCUUUGUAUCUUUUAUUUAUUUAUUUUUACUCAUAUUUAUGAGAUUUAUGAGAUAAUAAAAUAUGGCAAAAGCUGUACCAAAAAUAGGUUCACGUAAGAGAGUGCGUAUUGGUUUACGUAGGAAUGCACGUUUUAGUUUACGGAAGAGUGCACGUAGAAUAACAAAAGGGGUUAUUCAUGUUCAAGCUAGUUUCAACAAUACCAUUAUAACUGUUACAGACCCACAAGGUCGAGUGGUUUUUUGGUCCUCUGCGGGUACUUGUGGAUUCAAAAGCUCAAGAAAAGCAUCACCCUAUGCUGGUCAAAGAACAGCAGUCGAUGCUAUUCAUACAGUAGGUUUACAACGAGCAGAAGUUAUGGUAAAGGGCGCUGGUAGUGGAAGAGAUGCCGCAUUACGAGCCAUUGCUAGAAGUGGUGUGCGCUUAAGUUGUAUACGCGAUGUAACACCUAUGCCGCAUAAUGGAUGUCGACCGCCUAAAAAAGGCGUCUGUAAAAGAAUUAACCCGCUUUCAAGAGAAAUAAACGAUUCAAUGAUCAAAUAAUAAUACUAGUCUAUUAUGGUUCGAGAGGAGGUAGCAGGAUCCACUCAAACAUUACAGUGGAAGUGUGUUGAAGAGUAGAUAGUAAGCGUCUUUAUUAUGGUCGUUUCAUUCUGUCCCCGCUUAUAAAAGGUCAAGCGGAUACCGUCGGUAUUGCCUUGCGAAGAGCUUUACUUGGAGAAAUAGAAGGAACAUGUAUCACACGUGCAAAAUUUGGAAGCGUGCCACACGAAUAUUCUACAAUAGCGGGUAUUGAAGAAUCCGUACAAGAAAUUUUAGUAAAUUUGAAAGAAAUUGUAUUGAGAAGUAAUCUCUAUGGAGUUAGAGACGCAUCCAUUUGCGUCAAAGGUCCCAAAUGCAUAACUGCUCAAGAUAUCAUCUUACCACCUUCCAUAGAAGUCAUUGAUACGGCACAGCCUAUAGCUAACUUGACCGAGCCCAUUGAUUUCUGUAUUCAGUUACAGAUCAAGAGAGAUCGUGGAUAUCAGACGGAACUUAGAAAGAACUAUCAAGAUGGAAGUUAUCCUAUAGAUGUUGUAUCCAUGCCUGUUCGAAAUGUGAAUUAUAGUAUUUUUUCUUGUGGGAAUGGAAAUGAAAAACACGAGAUACUUUUUCUCGAAAUAUGGACUAAUGGAAGUUUAACCCCUAAGGAAGCGCUUUAUGAGGCUUCUCGUAAUUUGAUUGAUUUAUCAUAAUAAAAUGGAUUUUAGGUAUCUAGGGAAAAUUCACUUCGAAGUAACUAUUUCCUAGAUACCUAUGCACGGUACCUCACGGUUGAAUGAAUCAACCUGAAAAAUACCUAAAAAAGGCCUAAAGUUAAGGAUUUAUCAAUGGGUAAUGUUGCUCCAAUACCUAACCAAAGAGCUACUGCAGUACCGAUUAAAAAAACGGUCGUAGCUACCGGGCGACGAAAUGGAUUUUGGAAUUUGUUGACAUUUUCUAGAAAAGGUACUGUCAAUAAGCCUGUUGGCACAGAAACCAUUAAGAGAACGCCCAAUAACUUAUUGGGUACCAUACGGAGUAUUUGAAACACGGGAAAGAAGUACCACUCGGGUAAUAUUUCCAAAGGAGUUGCAAACGGAUCCGCGGGUUCACCAAUCAUUGAUGGCUCGAGAACAGCUAAACCUACAUUACAUGCAAUAGUACCUAGAAUUACUACUGGAAAAAUAUAUAAAAGAUCGUUGGGCCACGCGGGUUCGCCGUAAUAAUUAUGUCCCAUCCCUUUAGCUAAUUUUGCUCUUAAUACAGGAUCAUUUAAGUCUGGUUUCUUUGUUAUUGGGAUAGGUGAACUCUUUAGGAUCCAUCCCCCAAAGGAACCGGACAUGAGAAUUUAUCAUCAUCCGGCUCGAGCAAUAAAGAAAGAAAUAAGACCGCGGAAGAUCCAUAAUAAUAAUAGAAUAAGGUAUAUAAUUACUCAAUGACUCUAGGCAAGAAAAGCUUUAUCAGAUUAUCUUUUCCGAAGUUGCACCUACAACUACUCAUUGAAAAUAAUCCUAUUCUUAUGGGUAAAUGCUCAAUAUCCAAGUGGGCUUACAAAUUUGAUCAUGAUCAAUUGCUUUGUGGAUUGUCUCAUGUCUCUUGAUUAGUUGGUCUUUAUCCCCUCACUAUCGCAAGUUUCUUACGCCCAAACAAAGUAUUUACUUGUUACUAAUAAAAAAAUCAAAAAGUUUAGCCUAUGCUCUUCCUUAGAUCCCUUCUUUUACUCCGAUAGUAUUGCGAAUCGCAAUCGAUGCAAAGAAAAUGAAUGCAUUUCCAUACCAUAAUAAAAAAAGGUAAGUGUAAUAAAUAGAGAAUUGGAUCAUGUCACAUGACUUAUUCCAUUUCUACUCUAUGGGACCUUACGGAGCCUUUUCAUGGAUGACAUGGUUGGGGUAUGAUCAUAGAAAAUAUUCUCCUCAAGUGAACCAGCCUAUCCUUCCUAGGUAGGGGACUUACGUGUUGAUUGGAUGCGGAGACACCUUUGGUUGUGAAUUCUAAUGUGGCAGAUCCAAUUCUUUAUCUGCAUGGCCAAAUCUAUAAUUCAAGUCACACACUCCCAUAAUCCGCCUUUUUUUCUUUUGUAAAAUUAACUUCAACUAUUUGUAUUACAUCAAAAUACUUCGGAGUUGAAGAGAAGUAUCCAAAUGACAUGUGUUAUUUUACAAUAACCCAUGUUUGUAGCAAUGAAAUACCACAACCUACCCAAUAUUAUAUAUGAGAAUUCUAAUUCUCUAUGAUAUGCCUUCCCUAUAAAGGACCCGAAAUACCUUGCUUACGUAUCAUUGGAAAGUGCAUUAACAUAAAUACGGCAGUAAGCAGAGGAAGUACAAAGGUAUGUAAACUAUAAAAACGAGUCAAAGUGGAUUGGCCCACACUAGCACUUCCACAUAAUAACUCCACUAGAGGCGAUCCUAUUACCGGAAUCGCAUCAGGUACACCUGUCACAAUUUUGACUGCCCAAUAACCAAUUUGAUCCCAAGGCAAAGAAUAACCCGUUACACCAAACGAUGCAGUCAAAACAGCCAAAACCACACCUGUGACCCAAGUUAAUUCGCGGGGUUUUUUAAAUCCACCUGUGAGAUACACACGAAAUACAUGUAGGAUCAUCAUUAGAACCAUCAUACUUGCUGACCAUCGAUGAACUGAUCGGAUUAACCAACCAAAGUUGGCCUCGGUCAUUAUGUAUUGAACCGAGGAAAAAGCCUCUGUAACAGUUGGGCGAUAGUAAAAAGUCAUAGCAAAUCCGACGCUGUAACAUAGUUGAGGUUGAAUCUAAAGGAUCUACUGCUGGAUAAAUACCCUUGGAAGCUAAUCCUUUGGAAAGUACGGUAGUAGCAUCCAAAUGGGCAAAUGUUGUGGCAGGAGCAGGGUCAGUCAAAUCGUCCGCAGGUACAUAAACCGCUUGGAUCGAAGUUAUAGAUCCCUUUUUAGUAGAAGCAAUUAUUUCUUGCAAAGAACCCAUUUCUGUACUAAGAGUAGGUUGAUAACCCACCGCGGAGGGCAUUCUCCCUAAUAAAGUGGAUACCUCCGAUCCUGCUUGAACAAAACGAAAGAUAUUAUCGAUGAAUAAAAGCACGUCUUGCUUAUUAACAUCUCGGAAAUAUUCCGCCAUAGUUCGGGCAGUUAAACCAACUCUCAUACGAGCUCCCGGUGGUUCAUUCAUUUGGCCAUAGACUAGAGCUACCUUUGAUUCCUCAAUAUUUUUUUCAUUAAUUACUCCGGAUUCCCUCAUUUCCAUACAAAGAUCAUUUCCUUCGCGAGUCCGUUCCCCUACUCCACCAAAUAUGGAUACGCCCCCAUGAGCUUUAGCAAUGUUGUUGAUUAAUUCCAUGAUGAGUACUGUUUUACCUACUCCAGCCCCCCCAAAUAGUCCUAUUUUUCUUCCACGUCGAUAAGGAGCUAAAAGAUCGACGACCUUAAUACCUGUUUCAAAGAUGGAUAAUUUCGUAUCUAACUCGAUAAAGGCAGGCGCAGAUCUAUGAAUAGGGAACGUUGCACUACUAUCUACAGGACCCAUUGUCAACAGGCUCCCCAAGAACGUUGAAAAUUCGCCCGAGAGUAGCUCCGCCGACCGGAACACUGAGAGGAGCUCCUGUGUCAAUCACUUCCAUUCCUCUCAUCAACCCAUCUGUAGCACUCAUAGCUACAGCUCUAACUCGAUUAUUUCCUAAUAAUUGUUGUACCUCACAAGUCACAUUAAUUUGCUUAUCGGCAGUGUCUCUACUCUUGACUACCAAAGCGUUAUAAAUAUAAGGUAACUUACCGGGGGGGAAAGUGACGUCCAGCACGGGUCCAAUAAUUUGAUCGAUACGGCCUGUACUUUUUUCUUCAAUUGGGGAAACCCCGGGACGAGAAGUAGUAGGAUUGGUUCUCAUAAUUAUCACAUAAUAAAAAAAAAGGAAUUUGUCGAAAAAAAAAUUUCUUGUUGAAUAAUACCAAAUCCAAAAAAAUAUCCAAAAAUCCAAAAGUAAAAAGGAAAUCAAUUAGUUAAUUCAAUAAGAGAAAAAAGGGGAACAGGACUUGAUUUCGUUGCCCAAGCGAAUCCCUUUCAACCCUUUACUCAUGGAAUGAGGCCGUUGGAAAGUUCAAUCAAUCUUUUUUUCAUAAGAUAGAUUUUUCCUUUUGUGGAGGAUCUGUGCCUACUCUACUUUCCUAUCUAGGACUUCGCUAUACAAAAUAUAUACUACUGUGAAGCAUAGAUUGCUGUCAACAGAAAAUUUUCUUAGUAUUUAGUUAGGUAUUUCUUUUCAAAAUAAGAAAGGGGCCCUUUAAUAAUUUGUAAAAAAAAAAGGUUAAGGAUUGAUUUGGGUUGCGCUAUAUCUAUCAAAGAGUAUACAAUAAUGAUGGAUUUGUUAAAUCAAAUCCUUGGUUUAAUAACGAACGGUGUUAACUUACCAUAACAACAACUCAAUUCCUAUCGAAUUCCUAUAGGAUAGAACAUACACAGGGUGUACGCAUUAUAUAUGAAUGAAAAAUAUUAAUUAACUUAAGCAUGCCCUCAAUUUUCUGUAAUGAGUUGCUAUUAAUUGAAUAUCUCUUUUUUUUAUGAGAUUUUUGCUAAAGUUUCAUUUACGCCUAAUUCACAUCGAGUAGACCUUGUUAUUGUGAGAAUUCUUAAUUCAAGAGUUGUAAGGAGGGACUUAUGUCACCACAAACAGAAACUAAAGCAAGUGUUGGAUUUAAAGCUGGUGUUAAAGAUUAUAGAUUGACUUACUACACCCCGGAGUAUGAAACCAAGGAUACUGAUAUCUUGGCAGCAUUCUGAGUAUCUCCUCAACCUGGGGUUCCGCCCGAAGAAGCAGGGGCUGCAGUAGCUGCCGAAUCUUCUACCGGUACAUGGACAACUGUUUGGACUGAUGGACUUACUAGUCUUGAUCGUUACAAAGGACGAUGCUAUCACAUCGAGCCUGUUCCUGGGGAAGACAGUCAAUGGAUCUGUUAUGUAGCUUAUCCAUUAGAUCUAUUUGAAGAGGGUUCCGUUACUAACAUGUUUACUUCCAUUGUAGGUAACGUAUUUGGUUUCAAAGCCCUACGUGCUCUACGUCUGGAGGAUCUACGAAUUCCCCCGACUUAUUCAAAAACUUUCCAAGGCCCGCCUCAUGGUAUCCAAGUGGAAAGAGAUAAGUUGAACAAGUAUGGUCGUCCUUUAUUGGGAUGUACUAUUAAGCCAAAAUUGGGAUUAUCUGCAAAACAUUACGGUAGAGCGUGUUAUGAGUGUCUAUGUGGUGGACUUGAUUUUACCAAAGAUGAUGAAAACGUAAAAUCACAACCAUUUAUGCGCUGGAGAGAUCGUUUUGUCUUUUGUGCCGAAGCUAUUUAUAAAUCACAGGCGGAAACCGGUGAAAUCAAGGGGCAUUACUUGAAUGCAACUGCGGGUACAUGUGAAGAAAUGAUGAAGAGAGCUGUUUUUGCGAGAGAAUUAGGUGUUCCUAUUGUAAUGCAUGACUACUUAACUGGGGGAUUCACCGCAAAUACUACUUUGGCUCAUUAUUGCCGCGACAAUGGCUUACUUCUUCACAUUCACCGUGCAAUGCAUGCAGUUAUUGAUAGACAGAAAAAUCAUGGUAUGCAUUUCCGUGUAUUAGCUAAAGCAUUGCGUAUGUCUGGGGGAGAUCAUAUCCACGCCGGUACAGUAGUAGGUAAGUUAGAAGGGGAACGCGAAAUCACUUUAGGUUUUGUUGAUUUAUUGCGCGACGAUUUUAUUGAAAAAGAUCGUGCUCGCGGUAUCUUUUUCACUCGGGACUGGGUAUCCAUGCCAGGUGUUAUACCAGUAGCUUCAGGUGGUAUUCAUGUUUGGCAUAUGCCAGCUCUGACCGAAAUCUUUGGGGAUGAUUCUGUAUUACAAUUUGGUGGAGGAACUUUAGGACAUCCUUGGGGAAAUGCACUUGGUGCAGCAGCUAAUCGAGUGGCUUUAGAAGCCUGUGUACAAGCUCGUAACGAAGGGCGCGAUCUUGCUCGUGAAGGUAAUGAAAUUAUCCGAGCAGCUUGCAAAUGGAGUCCUGAACUAGCCGCAGCUUGUGAAGUAUGGAAGGCGAUCAAAUUCGAGUUCGCGCCGGUAGAUACUAUCGAUUAAUAGAUAAAACUAAAUAUGAAGAAGGUCUAAAUAAAAAGAGAAAAAAUAAGUUACGAAAUGCAGUGAUUCUUCUUUAUUCUUCUAAUUGACUGCAAUUAAACUCGGCUCAAUCUUUUUUUUUU
rnacentral:lncRNA from 1 species